rnacentral:lncRNA from 1 species
AAUGCGACAUGUAGCUAUCCUUUUUGUCAUCACUUAUCUAUAUUAUUCACCGGUUCUCACUUCUCUAAGGCAUAUGUAAAACAAUCGUGCAAUUUUAUUUUGGUUUUUCUUCUCUACUUUCAUCUUUCACUACCCUCCAUAAAUUGGGUUAGAUGUUCUCCUCAGUUAUUUCAUCAAUAAAAUCUCACUUGUUGUCUCAUUGAAUCAUAUGGAGAUUCACUUAGGUAAACAGCAUCCACUCAUCUUCUGAUA